AAAGGGAGACCUAAUUCCGGUAGGAGACGAAAAAAAAGUAGUCCCUACCAAGAAUCAAUCCCAAAAGGUCGGAGCGAGGCGAAAUUGGCUUUCAAACUAGGUUCUGGGUUCAAACAAGACCUGAAUCAGGAACAAGGGCUAUUAGCUCAGGUGGUUAGAGCGCACCCCUGAUAAGGGUGAGGUCCCUGGUUCGAGUCCAGGAUGGCCCACCUGCACAGGUGGCAAAAACAAGAGAAGCGAGGAAUCAGCACCUUAUCUUACUUAUAUAGUAAGAGAGAAUGCUGGCUCUGAGUAAAGAGUCCAGAGGAACCUUGAAAACUGCAUAGAGCUAGGUGAAAAAGCCAAAAAAGAAGACCGCAAG
rnacentral:tRNA from 1 species